CAUGCAAGUCGAACGCGAAAGGCCCCUUCGGGGGCCGAGUAGAGUGGCGCACGGGUGAGUAACACGUAGGUAAUUUGCCUUCGGGUGGGGAAUAACAGCCGGAAACGGCUGCUAAUACCGCAUAAUGCAGCGGCUCGACAUCGAGACAGUUGUUAAAGCGGGGGAUCGCAAGACCUCGCGCCUGAAGAGAAGCCUGCGGCAGAUUAGCUAGUUGGUAGGGUAAUGGCCUACCAAGGCGACGAUCUGUAACUGGUCUGAGAGGACGACCAGUCACACCGGAACUGAGACACGGUCCGGACUCCUACGGGAGGCAGCAGUGGGGAAUAUUGGACAAUGGGGGCAACCCUGAUCCAGCGACGCCGCGUGGGUGAAGAAGGCCUGCGGGUUGUAAAGCCCUUUCGGUUGGGAAGAAAAGCUGUGACCUAACACGUCGCGGCCUUGACGUAACCAACUAAAGAAGCACCGGCUAACUCUGUGCCAGCAGCCGCGGUAAUACAGAGGGUGCGAGCGUUAAUCGGAAUUACUGGGCGUAAAGCGCGCGUAGGCGGCUUUGUAAGUCGGUUGUGAAAUCCCCGGGCUCAACCUGGGAACUGCAUCCGAGACUGCAUGGCUAGAGUAUGGGAGAGGGAAGUGGAAUUUCANGUGUAGCGGUGAAAUGCGUAGAUAUCUGAAGGAACAUCAGUGGCGAAAGCGACUUC
rnacentral:rRNA from 1 species